UACGAAGGGGGCUAGCGUUGCUCGGAAUCACUGGGCGUAAAGGGUGCGUAGGCGGGUCUUUAAGUCAGGGGUGAAAUCCUGGAGCUCAACUCCAGAACUGCCUUUGAUACUGAAGAUCUUGAGUUCGGGAGAGGUGAGUGGAACUUCGAGUGUAGAGGUGAAAUUCGUAGAUAUUCGCAAGAACACCAGUGGCGAAGGCGGCUCACUGGCCCGAUACUGACGCUGAGGCACGAAAGCGUGGGGAGCAAACAGG
rnacentral:rRNA from 1 species